rnacentral:rRNA from 1 species
CCGAUCUCGAAAACCUAGUCCCAGUUCGGACUGGAGUCUGCAACCCGACUCCACGAAGUUGGAUUCGCUAGUAAUCGCGCAUCAGCCAUGGCGCGGUGAAUACGUUCCCGGGCCUUGUACACACCGCCCGUCACACCAUGAGAGUUGGGAAUACCCGAAGCCUGUGAGCUAACUGUAAGGAGGCAGCAGUCGAAGGUAGAAUCAAUGAUUGGGGUGAAGUCGUAACAAGGUAUC